rnacentral:misc_RNA from 1 species
UUUCCGUAGGUGAACCUGAGGAAGGAUCAUUACCGAGUGAGGGCCCUCUGGGUCCAACCUCCCACCCGUGUUUAUCGUACCUUGUUGCUUCGGCGGGCCCGCCUCACGGCCGCCGGGGGGCACCCGCCCCCGGGCCCGCGCCCGCCGAAGACACCAUUGAACGCUGUCUGAAGAUUGCAGUCUGAGCAUCUUAGCUAAAUCAGUUAAAACUUUCAACAACGGAUCUCUUGGUUCCG